rnacentral:rRNA from 1 species
GACAGAGGGGGGCAAGCGUUGCUCGGAAUUACUGGGCGUAAAGGGCGCGUAGGCGGGAUGGCAAGUCGGUCGUGAAAUCCCUCGGCUCAACCGAGGAACGUCGAUCGAUACUGCUGUUCUUGAGGAUUGCAGAGGAGACUGGAAUUCCCGGUGUAGCGGUGAAAUGUGUAGAGAUCGGGAGGAACACCGGUGGCGAAGGCGGGUCUCUGGGACGGUACUGACGCUGAGACGCGAAAGCGUGGGGAGCGAACAGG